rnacentral:rRNA from 1 species
AUACGCGACAAUGGGCGAAAGCCUGAUCCAGCCAUGCCGCGUGUUUGAAGAACGUCUUCUGCUCGUAUAGCACGUUAAGUUGGGAGUAAGGGUUGUCGGUUAAUACCCUGCAAUUUGCACGUUACCAACAGAAUAAGCCCCGGCUAACUUCUCGCCAGCGGCCGCGGUAAUACGAAGGGUGCAAGCGUUAAUCGGAAUUACUGGGCCCAAAGCGCGCGUAGGUGGUUCGUUAAGUUGGAAGUAAAAGCCCCGGGCUCAACCUGGGAACUGCUUUCAAAACUGGCAAGCUAGAGUAUGGCAGAGGGUGGUGGAAUUUCCUGUGUAGCGGUGAAAUGCGUAGAUAUAGGAAGGAACACCAGUGGCGAAGGCGACCACCUGGGCUAAUACUGACACUGAGGUGCGAAAGCGUGGGGAGCAAACAGG